rnacentral:lncRNA from 1 species
AUGGCCAGAUUAAGAAAGCUCCAAAAUAUCGGAAAGAAUCCUUUAAAAAAAAAAAUAGCCAUCAUUUCAAUGAUGGAAGGACAAUCUUUUUCUCCAUUUACAUACCACUCUUCCGUGACCCUUCCCCCUCCCUCUACUAUCUCUUCCCCACCCCCACUCCCCCUAAAAAAAAAUGAGGCCCUCAACAUAAACAAGAACCUGGAUGUUUACCGUGCUUUGUGCACACCCUCCAGCAGGCCAUGGAUUCGGACACCCCCUCCCCCGUGGUUCCACAGUUCAGUGGCUUGGCUUAGUGAGCAUCAUGCAACUCUGGGACUACCACCAAGGUAUUGUCAAGUCUUUUAUCACCCUGGCAACACAGCAGCUACUCUCAUAUGGUCACUAAGUAGGAAGACAAGAGAUGAUAAUGGCCUGAACUAUGGUGGUGACCAUGUAAAUGGCGAGAGUUGGAUGCAAGAUAUGUUUGAAGCAUCAUGAAUGAGGUCAGAAAACAAAUCAGUUUCUGACUUUCAAUCUCUUGUCUUUACACUUUAUCCCCCACAAAGUUGCCAAAAAUAAUACUCCUAAAACAUUUUUGCUCAUUUUCA